rnacentral:rRNA from 1 species
GACAGAGGGUGCAAACGUUGUUCGGAAUCACUGGGCGUAAAGCGCAUGUAGGCGGCAGCGCAAGUCGGAUGUGAAAUCCCGCGGCUCAACCGUGGAAGUGCACCCGAAACUGCGCAGCUAGAGUAUCGGAGAGGAAAGUGGAAUGCUUGGUGUAGAGGUGAAAUUCGUAGAUAUCAGAAGGAACAUCAGUGGCGAAGGCGGCUUCCUGGACCAAUACUGACGAUCAGGUGCGAAAGCGUGGGGAGCAAACAGG